rnacentral:lncRNA from 1 species
UCGUCAUGCAGUAGAAAUGGGUGAUGUCGUACAUGUGAUUGAUUUAAAUAACCAAAUGAGUCAUCUAAGAGGUACCCGCCAAAUUUAAACCUGAAAACAGAUCCAGUGCAUUGUAGACAUUUCCAUGGAUAAGAGCACUGCAAGUAGAUAAGCCCUGAUGCAUGUUAUUUGAAAUGAGAAAAUAUGUAUCAUAUGUUCUUGCUAUAUCAUAAGAGGUCAACUUGUUACCUGAUAAGCCUUGAUGCAUGUUGUUUUGCAAUGAGAAAAUAUGUAUCAUAUGUUCUUGCUAUAUCAUAAGAGGUCAACUUGUUACCUGAUAAGCCUUGAUGCAUGUUGUUUUGCAAUGAGAAAAUAUGUAUCAUAUUUACUUGGUAUAUCAUAAUAGGUGUCAACUUGUCGCUUGAUAGUACUGAACUGAACAUGAUCAAUUCACCGGAGAAAGUUGAGGUACAUUCCCUUAUAUGCAUUGUAAUUCAAGUGAAAACAUAAAAUAUUCUUCAAUGUUUUCGUUCAUCAAGAAGACUAGGACGCUGCGUAGCAAGUCCUAGUCGUUAGGAACUCUAAUUUAGGGAUCAUUUUGAGUUAUGUCAUGGUGUAUUACUGAUUUUGUUUUCAAUCACAUGAAUAUAUCUUUAGAUAUGAUAAAGAUUUAUGUUAUAGAUUACUAGUUACGACCUUUCUCUUCUUAUUCAUGGCAAAAUCAUAACCCUACAUCAAACUAUGAUUUUCACAGCUAUAUGAUUCACUCGAUGGAAGUAGAAUUCCAAAGAAUAGUUUGUAUAAGAUAAAAAUAAAUUUAGUCCUUUGCUCAUUUUUCUUCCUUUUCUCUAACUAGGCAGAGAUUUAAAAGAUGCUUAAAGAGACAUCGGCCUGAAGCGCUCGCUUUUCAUUAUCGACUCUUCCUUGACUAGAUAGAGAGUUAAAAAUUACAGUCUACAAACAAGUAUUUGCUCAUCUCCAUUACUGAUGAGACAAGCAAACACUUGUUUGUAGUCUGUUAUUAUGCUGAAAUGUUUAGAGCUGAACUUUUAUACAAUGGUUCAACAUCUCAUAGCCUACAAGAGAACUUAAGACUACAGUCAAGAUGAUUAGAAGGAAAAACUAGAAUAGUUGAAUAAAGAAGUGGUGGCUUCUCUAUGGGGUGCUAUGGUGUAGUAUAUUUCGAAAGCAAGAAAGUGAAAAUAGUUCAAAGGUUCUACGUAAAAACUUAAUUUUUUUUGUAAACACAAUGGAUUUGCAUACACAACAUAUUUCUAAAAAAAAGAGUUAUUCAAAAAAAUUGAAAACAUAAUAGAUUUGCAAAGAAAAAAAGCAUAUUUGAUAAAAUCUGACUUGUUUCAACUUAUUGGGUGUACUGCUUAACUUGAUUAGUAGAUGCAAGAGCUGAAGUGUUAAUCCACAUGUUCUCUUUCUCAAGAUCCAUCGAGUUCCUUUGUGUUAUUCUCAUCCUUUGACUAGAAGACAAAGCAGGCUUUUUUAGGUACUUGUCCUCGACCUUUCCCUAUAGAAACUAGAGAAAACAAAUUCUAUUACCAAUACUUUAGCAUAAUGGUUUAUGGAGCGAGUAGCUGAAAGAAAUAACAAGGGCUCGCAAAGAAGAUUAGAUUGUGAAACAGAAAAAAAUAGAGCGUAAUACAAAAUAAAUUGCAAGGGCUCGCUUUUAACUAUGGACUUUCUUCAAGGCAGAAAAUCGAUUUGUUUAGAAUACACAAUCCCUUCUUAAGCAAAGCUCUCCUUAUAUCGUAUAUUCAUACUUUCUUAAAUCACAACUAAAAAAUAAAGGAGAUUGUUCUAAAGUAAAUGUUAAUUUAACUGGACGAGAAAACAACAGUUAUCAUUUUCAUCUAACAUAACAUAGCAAUAGAGUACAUGUAGAUAAUUAUAGAUAACAUCUUGACUUUUGUUCAAAAUGUAAAUUUAACUCAUAGAAGUUACCAGAGGAUAACAAACAAUUUUGUAUCUUUUGUUGACUAUGUGUUAGAUUAUUCUGUCUCUUCCAAACAUAACGUGACAUUGGGUGUGAGUUUUAGUGGAAAAAAUGUACAUUUUUAUAAGUUAUUCCUUUGUAUAAAACUCUACUAAGCCAGCUUAUAUAGAUGGUCUCAAGAACUAAAAGAAUAGUAGACUUAACCGGACUAGUCAGCAAAAUCUCAGCAUCUAAGACAUAAAACUAGUAUGUUGUUCACGAAAUAAUUAUUUUUCCAAAUUCAAUAUACACUCUGCAUAAAAUAUGAAUCUUCAAACACAUAAUACACUUCAGAGAUUCAAUCAACUAUUAGAGAUCUCAACCCAAUAAUAUUUUCAUUGAUUGUACAUAAGAAAGAGACCAGAUUAUGAAACUUAUAAACUAUCUAAUGAUAGAAACGAGGAAGAAGAAGAGGAUUAACUUGAAUAGAAUAAGAAAAUAAAUGUCAUCAAUACAAUUAUGGAAGAAACAGAGCAACUACAGAAGAAGAUACCUACUCUGAGUUUAGGGUAGCGCUGCAAUGGAAAUCCGCAAAGCUAAAUGUCUUGAUUUCAGAUAUUUUCUCAAUUAGAUUAGCUGUUUUCAACAUACAAAUACGCAGUAAUAAAAGAAAGAAAAGGAACCAAGAAGACACAUGCGUUGAGA